CCAAAGCACUUGUGACUUCAUCUAAGAGGAGAAUUCUUGGGUUCAUCAGCAGGGCUCUUGCAAUUGCUACUCUCUGUUUCUGACCUCCAGAAAGCCUUACUCCACGUUCUCCAACAAAUGUUUGGUUUGGACAAGCAGGGUGGGAAGUCAGACAAUUGUUAUCUUAGUCUAAAUUUGUAGCACAAGAAUUCCCAAGGUAAGGCUCUUAUAUUGUAUCCUACACCAUAACUCUGCACCACUAAUGAUGCCUCAUGCCUUACACCACUCCAAAGAUGCACAAAUUCUCUCAUAUUAGAAUAUGUAUUACUGGAAAAUUAGAGCAAGAUCUAAGCAAGAAACAAACCCCAGAGGACACCUAUUUCCAGACAUAGGCAUGGGUGAUACGCGAUCCAAAAGCUGGAAUACCCGUCUGCUAGCCCCUACUGCUUUCAUUACAACGGUGUAUAAGUCCAUAUACAGUAGGUAGAAGAUAGUUGAACGCAGUCAAGAAAAUUUAAGAACCUUUACAACCAGAUAAAGGGUCUUACCCAGUGCACAAGGCUUCUGCUUUUGCAGGAAAUCUUUACAACUAGACAAUUAUACUUAAAUCUACAACAACUUGAUGAUACACCCAUCUUCAUAUAAGAAUAGUGAUGCCUCCAUUUGCAUGAAAAAAAUUGCAAAUGGCAUGGAAUUUACCUGUAAAACUAUAAAGAAUGAAUGACGUAAGAGCACCCAUGGUUAAGGAACCUGUGAUUGUCAUAUUAGCUCCAAAAAUCACUUCUAUGAUAACUGACAGUGAUGAUGCUGCAUUUAGUCCUCCAAUAAACAGUUCACUGACUUUCUGUGGCAGCAAAGAAAUUGAGCUGCAGAGAGAGAGAGAGAGAGGGAGAGAGAGCACAAGGGAAAUCACCGCUUGUUGAAGUCCGAGCUUGAAAGUCUCAUCAACCUUCUUAGAAUAGCAUGUUAUCUCAUAUCCUUCUUGUGCAAAAGAUCUCACUGUGCGUAAGGCACCAAAAGAUUCCUAAACAACAAUAGAACAUCGAAUAUCAUCUCUUCUUUUGAUAACACCCACUCAUAGGUAUCAUCAUGUCAUCAAAAUAUCUUAUUGAUUGAGGCUUUCGAUCAACAACAUAAUCUUUCUAUAUUUCAUAAGUGAAAAUAACAAACUUUUAUUGCAUAGAUAUACCUCAGCAAUUGAAGAAGCUUCUUCAGCUGCAGCUGGAUUCUUACUGGAGAGUUCAGUAAGGAAAAGGCCAAAUUUGCAUACAGCAACAGAAAGAGCCGGCACAACAGCCAGAACAAACACUAAGAAUUAAUGAUUGGUUAGGAUAAGUCUCCUGGACUCUUGAUGAAAUAAAUCAAGUUCAAGUACUACUGCUUCAAUGAUCAAGUGUUUACAUGUUAGUUUCCAUGAUGUUGCAAACAUGAAGCUAAGACCAAUGAAAGCAGUUGCUAGACUUCUUAGGGCCUCAGAAAGACUGGUAGUUGCAGCACUUUUUAUGAUCUGAGUAUCCUCAGAUAGUCUACUAAGGAGCUCUCCAGUUCGAGUGAUAUCAAAGAAGGCUAUUUCCUGCAAAACUCAUAGACCAUUGUAUCAGGAACUUAUAUGCUGCAAAGUAUGACAAAUAAACAAAGAAAAAAAAACCAUCCCUCAGCAGCCAAAUGGAAUAUAAAUACAAGAAAACAUAAUAAAAAAUCGUUGAGACUAACAUUUUACCUGGUGAACAAGGUGACUAAAUAGGUUCUUUCUUAACUGGGCAACGACCCUUUCACUAGCAGAAGAAAAAAACCAUGUUCGAAGUGUUGAAGAAAUUGCCCUGAUAAGAAGUCUGGAAUAGUUAGUGAUGUAUUUGUAAACCCACAAAAAUCUUUAUUUUUUUAAUUGCUUAUUACACACACCUGGUGGGUCUUGAACCCACGAUCUCACCCUCCACCUAACUCUUACAAAGGGAGGAAAUGUCAUUUGAACUGGAGCUUUUGCACAAUCCAAUAAAAAUCUUUAUGCGGUU